AGUAUGACUCUCGGCAACGGAUAUCUCAGCUCUCACAUCGAUGAAGAAUGUAGCAAAAUGCGAUACAUGGUGCAAAUUGCAGAAUCCAGCGAACCAUCGAGUCUUUGAAUGCAAGUUGCGCCCGAGGCCAUCCGGUCGAGGGAACGCCUGUCUGGGCACUGAGC
rnacentral:rRNA from 1 species